rnacentral:rRNA from 1 species
AUUGAACGCUGGCGGCAGGCUUAACACAUGCAAGUCGAGCGGGGGAAGGUAGCUUGCUACCGGACCUAGCGGCGGACGGGUGAGUAAUGCUUAGGAAUCUGCCUAUUAGUGGGGGACAACAUCUCGAAAGGGAUGCUAAUACCGCAUACGCCCUAUGGGAGAAAGCAGGGGAUCUUCGGACCUUGCGCUAAUAGAUGAGCCUAAGUCGGAUUAGCUAGUUGGUGGGGUAAAGGCCUACCAAGGCGACGAUCUGUAGCGGGUCUGAGAGGAUGAUCCGCCACACUGGGACUGAGACACGGCCCAGACUCCUACGGGAGGCAGCAGUGGGGAAUAUUGGACAAUGGGGGGAACCCUGAUCCAGCCAUGCCGCGUGUGUGAAGAAGGCCUUAUGGUUGUAAAGCACUUUAAGCGAGGAGGAGGCUACUUUAGUUAAUACCUAGAGGUAGUGGACGUUACUCGCAGAAUAAGCACCGGCUAACUCUGUGCCAGCCGCCGCCGUAA